CAGGCGCAGUGGGGCGGCGGGCGGGGCUGGGUGCCAGGCCGGGCGGCGCUGCCGCCGCGGCGCUCGGGCAGGGCCGGGCGGGGCUCGGUCCUCCGGCAGAGCUGCCGCUGCACCUCGGGGCUGGGGAUUCCGGCGGGGAGCCGCGGCUCCGAGCUGAACCCCCAGCCGGCCUUUCCUUUCCCGCGGCUGGCCGGACAGGGCCCGGGGCGCUGGCGCUGCUCCGCUGCCCUGGCCGUUUCCCGCAGCCCGCCCCGAGCUCGCUGUGGCGCCGGGCUCCUCUGGGCGGCAAAUGCGCCCUUCAGCCUGCUGUUGAACCUGUGCGGGUCUCGGGCGGAGAAGCCGCGGCGUUGGUGCGGGUCUGGUGUCUCCAGUGUGCCUCUGCCAAACGCAGAGCAGGGCUGCGCGCUCGCUUUGCUCCCGUGAGUUAUCCUGACCUCCUGGGACUCCGCUUGCAGCAGUUCAGUGCGAGUGGGGCUUUGCAGAGCCUGCAUCAAUUGUUGCAGUCCAGCUGUGCAUCCCUGCCCAUUGUCCCUGUCAGUGUGGGAGGGAGAGCAGCCAGUUUGAGCGUGCAGCUAGAGGUGACGUAACUGCAUCAAAUAUAAAUAGAAGAGCGAAUGCCUGGAGCUGGUAAAAAUAGGUAUUUGUUUUAAAAACAAGUAUGAAGAAAUUCUGUGCCUUGAUAGAAUUUUGUUAAAAUCUUCCGAAAAAUAAUAGGACAUUGGGACAUUCUGAUUGCAUCUACAGGGAUGCCGGAUGCCUCUGAAAUUUGGAGCCCACUUUAGUUUGUUCCUAUUAGUGGAUCAAAUAAAGUAUUUUCAUGUUGUCCAUCUCAUUUAUUCUCUUUAAUGGAAAAACCUUAGGCUGGUGUGUGGUCAUGACAGAGGAUUGAAGUAAGGAUGUCUCUGUUCAUCUUUGUUGUGUCCCAGUUGCUGUGUAAUCCUGGGCAGAUUGCUUCAUCACUGCUAGCUCUGCUCAUCAGUCUUUACAGAGGAAACUGCAAAGUGUUGCAGCCACCUGAAGCUUUGGGGGGCUGCAGCAGGAAGAUGCUGCACAUGCAACACAGGUUCACUUGGUCUUGGUGGAGGGAAUGCCUGGGGCUCCUGUGCUCCAGUUAAACAAGGCUUUUAUUGAGAUGGUGCUGGACUCUGAGGGUUUCUCCCCCUGUAGCUUCAUGCUUUCAAAACAAGUGAUACAGGUUGUGUCACUUCAGCAUCCAAAUCCUCAGUGUUUUUGCCAGCCCCUUGGCCUUGUGGACAGGAAUGACCUUCGAGCUCCCACAUAAUCAGCACUUCACCCACUUACUAAAGGCGGUUCAGAAUCGGAUUUAUCAGCCGUGAGGUGGAAACGCUCCAAGGGCCGUGCCUGGCUGGGUCACAGGAUCCCUGCUGGGGUCAGUCCUGGCAGCUGGGGGGCUGGAAGGGAUCACAGGAAUGCUAAACUUUCCUCCCGUCCAGUUCAGGCUGGACUGGCUGGAGAACCUCCCUGGCCUGUUUGCUCUCUGCCCUGGCAUGCCCAUCGGUGGAUGGGGGAGCUUUGGUGGCCAUGAGAGGACAAGGGAGGGGUUGUGCUCAGAGCUGGGUGCACAGCCCACUCUGUGAGUCCAAAAAACAAAAAAAUCAGGCUUUGGGUAGGAUUUGCACAAUGGAUAAGUUUUUUGCUUUUGUUCUCCUCAGCACAGCAGAAAGACCUGCAGAAGUGCUUAGAUAAUAAAUAAAUAAUUUUGAAUCCUCACUCUACUGUGGUGCAAACCUGAAUGCCUGGAAUGCCUGUUGGUGCUACCCUUUUCACUGAUUAUAACAGAAUAAGAAGAAAAAAGAACCUCUCAGUCCUUUUAAAUCAAUGCAGGGAAAGAUAAAUCAGUCUUCAGCCUUGUCUUGAUAUUAAAGAGCCUUUCCUAAUUUUCCUUUUGCUGAGAAGAAGGAUGUAAAACUGAUAUUGAUAUCUAUGAAACAAUAUCCCUGCUUUGUGUUCAUAUUGAAAUAGCUUCCAGUUUCUCAGUCUUGCAAAAUUUCCAGCACAUUAAUUUGGCACAAAUGAUUUAUAGCUGAUGAGCAAUUAAAGUAUAAUUUCUUUCCAGCAUCUCAGGCUUUGUGACUAGACUAUUAAAUGAUUUUGCAAGCUUGCUCUAUCAUUACAGGAUAGCAGUGGGAUGAAUUCACAGGAGAAAUUUAUUCCUCCCAGCAGACCCAGCAUCUCCUCUCAACUGCAAACUGGAGCACUGCUUGCAUUCCUCAGAUAAUUUUCUCACUGUAUCUUUUGUACAGUCUCUCUUUGGACCUACAAGAGAGCUUUAGUCUGAAUUUCAGUGACAGUUUACUCUGACAUUACAAAGUCCUCCCAAAGUACCUGUUCUGCCUGGAGCCUUUGAUGUAGACUGAUGCUUUACUUAGACCUGUCAAGGUAUUUCAGAACCAGCAGCAAACAAAACCAUUUUAAAAAUUAUUUUUAUAUUUGGAAGGGCAUCUCCCAGAGGCAAGCAUGGUAGAGAAAAAUCAGAUGAAAGUACUGGCUACAAAGAGUCCUCACCUCCAAGUUCUUCAAAUGUCAGCAGAUGACAUUUAGCUAACCAUGUCUUGAUUCUGCUGUAACAGAGGUGGAAAGAACCAGAGGAGCUUCAUGUAGACACUUCACCCUUCAGGAAAGGACAUGACAGGUAGAGUUGUCAACCCAGCUUUGUUCAGGAAGGAACAAAUAGCAUGGACAGGAGCAGAAAAGGAAGGAAAAAACCCAAAAAUCAAGAGAUCCACUUCUGACUGUACAGCUGGGAGCUACAUUAGGCUAUUUGCUUGUAAGAUCCUUGUGGGAUUCCCCUUUACAAACCUAACAACGUGCAGUGACCAUGUGUGACACGAUUCUCUUCACUACCACCUAGUGGGAAACUCCUUCAUAACCCAGCUCCAGAGCUGCUCCUGAUCUCCACCCUCAGCCUGAUGGCAGAAACUGGGAAUAAGCAGAGGGAGAAAAUGACAGAUGACUGGGAAGGAGGACACAGUCCUCACAUACAGGUAGAGGAAUGUGUAGAGGAAGUUUGUCAUUUAAACCCAUUUGCCCCAUGGAUUUACCACACCACAACUGCAGGCUCUGCAUCCAGCCCAGCCCACUGAUGAACAACCCAGCUUCCUUCUCAGCAAAAUCACAUUUUCCAAUUAUUUACACCAAAGACUACUACAUUAGAACCUAAAUGGGUAUAUAUUGGAAACAUUAAAACAUGUAUUCAAGCAAGUCCUUCCCCACUGAGAUACUCGGGGUUUGCACAAAUAGCUGAAAUCCAACUCUGGAAAACAAUGUAUAAAUUACAAUUAUCUCAGGUUUUUCACUCUGCUGUGUGCCUUUUGGGACUAAGCUCCCAAUGCACAAAUAAUAAUCAGUUUUGGUACUCAUGUAGCUUUUUUCCCCCCAAUAACAGAAAUAAGGGUGACAAUUAUCAUAAUAGCACUCACAUUUCAAGGAGGGGAUUAUGUUAAUGUCAUUCAGGCCAGUAAAGCAUUUAUCAGUCACCGCAGGAAGAACAGUAAAAUGGUAAAGAAUUAUUAAAAGAAUCAUUUCUUUGUGUUUCAUUUGCCAAUGGCAAUUUUACCACCCUAUUCAGGGAAUUAUAUGGGCUCCCUCUAGUAGCACUUUUAUCAUAAAUGUAUUUAGGCUUUUUUUCCUUCUCUGUAUGCUCCUUGAA